rnacentral:rRNA from 1 species
UGGGGAAUUUGGANAAUGGGCGCAGCCUGAUCCAGCCAUACCGCGUGGGUGAAGAAGGCCUUCGGGUUGUAAAGCCCUUUUGUUGGGAAAGAAAAGCAGUCGAUUAAUACUCGGUUGUUCUGACGGUACCCAAAGAAUAAGCACCGGCUAACUUCGUGCCAGCAGCCGCGGUAAUACGAAGGGUGCAAGCGUUACUCGGAAUUACUGGGCGUAAGCGUGCGUAGGUGGUUGUUUAAGUCUGUUGUGAAAGCCCUGGGCUCAACCUGGGAAUUGCAGUGGAUACUGGGCGACUAGAGUGUGGUAGAGGGUAGUGGAAUUCCCGGUGUAGCAGUGAAAUGCGUAGAGAUCGGGAGGAACAUCCAUGGCGAAGGCAGCUACCUGGACCAACACUGACACUGAGGCACGAAAGCGUGGGGAGCAAACAGGAUUAGAUACCUGGUAGUCACCCCCUAACGAUGCGAACUGGAUGUGGGUGCANUUGGCACGCAGUAUCGAAGCUACGCGUUANUUCCCGCCGGGGAUACGGUCCAAGACUGAAACUCAAGGAAUNGACGGGGGCCCGCACAAGCGGUGGAGUAUGUGGUUUAAUUCGAUGCAACGCGAAGAACCUUACCUGGUCUUGACAUGUCGAGAACUUUCCAGAGAUGGAUUGGUGCCUUCGGGAACUCGAACACAGGUGCUGCAUGGCUGUCGUCACCUCGUGUCCUGAAAUGUUGGGUUAAGUCCCCCAACGACCCCAACCCUUGUCCUUAUUGCCAGCACGUAAUGGUGGGAACUCAAAGGAAAACGCCGGUGACAAACCGGAGGAAGGUGGGGAUGACGUCAAGUCAUCAUGGCCCUUACGACCAGGGCUACACACGUACUACAAUGGUAGGGACAGAGGGCUGCAAACCCGCGAGGGCAAGCCAAUCCCAGAAACCCUAUCUCAGUCCGGAUUGGAGUCUGCAACUCGACUCCAUGAAGUCGGAAUCGCUAGUAAUCGCAGAUCAGC